UUAGUGUCCCACACUCGCACCAUAUUAUAGGUCAGGUUGUAAGUAGCUCUGAAUCUUCACCGAUCCCUGUUAGUGUGUGCAUGGACAAACCUUUUUUGUGCUGCGAAACCCGAGCAACGUAUAUAUGCAUGGUUUAUAAUUGUUGUAUAUCUAUAUCUACUACACGAACCUGUAGCAUCUGGUAUGUUCGUUCUGUUUUCCCUUCAUUGCUGUCGCUCUAAGUUUUUACAUUCAAGUGGACACUGUAUCAACUUGUAUCUAGACCUGCACUUCUCGGUGCUCGACCAAGUAUUCAUCUGCCUGUCCGGCUUAUGAGCUUCUUUUUUUUUUUUGACAAGGACCGGUUUAUGAGCUUGUCCGCCAAAUCCCCGAUUGCUUGAUGGAUUUGACGCUGCAUCGCGGAGAUCGGACAGCGCGCUUUCGAGCAGGCAAAGUGCGCGGCCGAAUGGGGUAAACCGGAAAAAGGCCCUUAAAGCCCAGAAGCCCCUCGGCCCACUAGCUCAGCCAAGACGUCGCCUGGCCGAGAGCCCUCUCCCCCGCUCCCUCCCUUCUCCAGUUCUCCCCCACCCAAACUAACCAAAUCGCAGCCGCGCUCGAGCUCAAGCCCCGCCGCCGUCUCCGGCGUGCCCUCCCAAAACCCUGCAUUCUCCUCCGCCGCCUUCCGAUCUCUCGGCCCGGAUCCAUGUCGGAGAAAAAGCGCCGCGCGGGGGCAGCCGCGGCCGGCGCCGCAUCUAGCUCGAAGAAGCCGCGCGCCGCCGCGUCCUACGCCGAGUCCCUCCGCUCGAAGCUCCGCCCCGACGCCUCCAUCCUCGCCACCCUCCGCUCCCUCGCCUCCGCCUCCGCCUCCGCCUCCUCUUCCAAAUCCAAGGCCGCCGCGAAGUCCCUCGCGGACCACGACCCCUCCGCGGACCCCACCUCCUCGUACAUCGUGGUGGCCGACCAGGACUCCUCCUCCGUCACCUCGCGCAUCAACCGCCUCGUCCUUGCCGCCGCGCGCAGCAUCCUCUCCGGCCGGGGCUUCUCCUUCGCGGUGCCCUCCCGUGCCGCCUCCAACCAGGUCUACCUCCCGGACCUCGACCGCAUCGUGCUCGUCCGCCGCGAGUCCGCGCGCCCCUUCGCCAACGUCGCCACCGCGCGCAAGGCCACCGUCACGGCCCGCGUCCUCUCCCUCGUGCACGCCGUCCUCCGCAGGGGCAUCCACGUCACCAAGCGUGACCUCUUCUACACCGAUGUCAAGCUCUUCGGGGACCAGUCCCAGUCCGACGCCGUCCUCGACGACGUCUCCUGCAUGCUCGGAUGCACCCGGUCCUCCCUCCAUGUUGUCGCCUCCGAGAAGGGUGUCGUCGUCGGCCGCCUCGUCUUCGCCGACGACGGGGACCGGAUCGACUGCACGCGCAUGGGCGUCGGCGGGAAGGCCAUCCCGCCCAACAUCGACAGGGUCUCGGGCAUCGAGAGCGACGCGCUCUUCAUCCUGCUGGUGGAGAAGGACGCCGCAUUCAUGCGCCUUGCCGAGGACAGGUUCUACAACCGCUUCCCCUGCAUCAUUCUGACGGCGAAGGGGCAGCCGGAUGUCGCCACCCGGCUGUUCCUGCGGCGGCUCAAGGUGGAGCUGAAGCUGCCGGUGCUCGCACUGGUUGACUCUGAUCCAUACGGGCUCAAGAUCUUGUCAGUGUACAUGUGUGGUUCGAAGAACAUGUCUUAUGACAGUGCCAAUCUGACGACGCCAGACAUCAAGUGGCUUGGUGUCCGGCCAAGCGACUUGGAUAAGUACAGGGUGCCGGAGCAGUGCCGUCUCCCCAUGACCGACCACGAUAUCAAGGUGGGGAAGGAGCUGCUUGAAGAGGACUUUGUGAAGCAGAAUGAGGGCUGGGUGAAGGAGCUGGAGACGAUGCUGCGCACCAGGCAAAAGGCUGAGAUACAGGCCCUCAGCUCCUUCGGGUUUCAGUACCUCACCGAGGUAUAUCUGCCUCUCAAGCUGCAGCAGCAGGACUGGAUUUGAGUACUCUUGAUGCUAGGUACGAGAUCUUGGUCGUCUGUCCGUACUUCUCAGUUUGUCGUGUUAGGUUGCUUUUUUGUUUUUUAACACACACUGAACGCUCGGUAGUCGAAUCAGAUGUGUGAUCUGAUCUGUGAUAUGUUCUUCAGCUUAUUAGUGCACUUCACCAGGUGUUGAAAAUUUCUUCAGCGAAGAUGAUGUCUUCCGCUCAGAAUUUGCAAGGACCUGAUUGACAUGAGUGAAGACCUUACUAACUUGUCAUUACCAGCACCCUUGUAUCACUUGUGUAUUUGAACAUCAACUAUAGUGUUAUUUAUUUCUGCUGGAGAACAAUUCAUGGAACAAUUGCUGCCAGACAUGUACUGAAAGUUCAUUA